GACGAACGCUGGCGGCGUGCCUAACACAUGCAAGUCGAACGGAACUGUUUUGAAAGAUUUCUUCGGAAUGAAUUUGAUUUAGUUUAGUGGCGGACGGGUGAGUAACGCGUGAGUAACCUGCCUUCAAGAGGGGGAUAACAUUCUGAAAAGAAUGCUAAUACCGCAUGACAUAUCGGAACCACAUGGUUUUGAUAUCAAAGAUUUUAUCGCUUGAAGAUGGACUCGCGUCCGAUUAGUUAGUUGGUGAGGUAACGGCUCACCAAGACCGCGAUCGGUAGCCGGACUGAGAGGUUGAACGGCCACAUUGGGACUGAGACACGGCCCAGACUCCUACGGGAGGCAGCAGUGGGGGAUAUUGCGCAAUGGGGGCAACCCUGACGCAGCAACGCCGCGUGAAGGAUGAAGGUUUUCGGAUUGUAAACUUCUUUUAUUAAGGACGAAAAAUGACGGUACUUAAUG
rnacentral:rRNA from 1 species